rnacentral:rRNA from 1 species
UACAGAGGGGGCAAGCGUUAUUCGGAAUUAUUGGGCGUAAAGGGCGCGUAGGCGGCCUUUCAAGUGACGGGUGAAAGCCCUCGGCUUAACCGAGGAACUGCCAUCCAGACUGCUUUGCUUGAGGCCGGGAGAGGUGAGUGGAAUUCCCAGUGUAGCGGUGAAAUGCGUAGAUAUUGGGAGGAACACCAGUGGCGAAGGCGGCUCACUGGACCGGUUCUGACGCUGAUGCGCGAAAGCGUGGGGAGCAAACGGG